rnacentral:lncRNA from 1 species
AUCUUCAAAAAAAACAAAAAAACACUAAAAUACGGGCAAAUUAUUUAAAAUGGGAAAACUGCAAGUACCUAGGGUAAGACUCACCUGCAUUUCUAGAUAUUUUGUUUCCGUCGUCCAAGAAAAAUGGACGCCGUCGUCGCCUCCGGGUAGCAAGCCCCCACCUGGGCCCGGGCAGCCGGGCCCUUUCCUCACAAACCAGCCCCGCGGGAGCGCAGCACGGCUGGCCCGCAUGCGCAGAGCGAGGCCGCGCCUCGUCUUGCGCGUCACGUGACAGGCGCUGCGAGCGUAGCGCAUGCGCUCUUGUUACUAGUGGGCAAACGUAGGAGGUGGCGGCUCUCCUGGCCAAUCUCCUGUUACAUCCUUACCCCCUGCUGCCAGCCCCACACACAGCCUGGUGGUAAAUCUGGUCCUGUAGGUUAUGGGGCUGGGCGCUGUUCCCAGGUGGGCUUGUUCCUCCUGAUCAGGAAGCUACGAGCUGUGCCCACCCACCCCCUGCGCAUAGGCAGCCGCGGCGGCAGCUCCUGUGUCUGCGGCGCCAGAGACCGAAAGAGGCGGCAGCUACCAAGGAGGAAUCACAAUUUGAAACAAAGUGCAGUUUACGGUAAUAUUAGGAAAUAUGCACCCAGAAAUAAGUGUGAGCAUCCUGAGACCGCCAUGCUGGAGAGGUCUCAGGUAGGCCCCCUGGUAGGCAGCACCGGCCUCACAGGCCUCUCUGCAGAGGCCCCGGACGCAGGCACGAGAGAAGCCUUCGCAGACCAGAUGGCCACGACGUCGCCUCAGCGGACACCAACUAGGUACCGCAUAUUUCCCUUCUCUUCCCUUGCUGCAUGGUCACAGCGGGCUGCGAGCUCCAUCACCUGAACAAGAGAAUAGCAAUUAAACAUGAAAAUCAUAUUCCAAAUUCUGUGGGUUCUGAGCAUUUGCUUCUCGGCCAGUCAGAGUCAAGAAAGGAAUAAUGGAUUCAAUCAAAGACGACAGUUGCAUUCAUCUGGUCGAAAUCUAGCUCGAUCACAAUCUGCUAAAGCCAAGCCUCUUCCAAAUUCAAAUCCACCAAGAUCCAUCUUGUCUCAGUAUCACCAAAACUUAGCUAGCCAGUCACUAAGCAGAUCAACCAAUUCAAAGUUACUUCCUCCUAAAAAGCAACUUCCUUUUAAGUCAUCUAUCCCAAAAAAACUAGCAAAACUACAAACUCAUUCAAAUAAAGCUAGCCAACCAAAACUAGGUCCAACUGAGAACAGUUCAAAAACUCAAAGUAGGUCUAGGCAGUCACAAGUUUACCAAAAUAACUCUAUUCAAAAAAGGCCUCAUUUCAAGUCAACUAUUCACAAUAGACCCCACUCAUUACAUCCUGGUCAAUUACAGUACUCUAAAAAACAGCCUCAAAAAUCCCAAUAUCCUCCAAAUCCAUCUAUUAAAAAAGUGAUAAAGCCAUUCAAAUCUCUUUCAAAUACAGCUCUUCAGCAAAAACCUCAACUAACGAAGCAUAAUCCUAAUUCACACACUCUACAAAAAGCUAGCCUAAACAAGCCACAUCCAAAUGAAUUUGUUAAAAGAAGAACCAGACAAAGAAAGCCUAAUUCAAAAGCACUUGUCCAAAAUAUACCAAGCCACACCAAAACUCAUCUAGAAGCACCUGGUGGAAGAAAACGUAUACAGCCGCUCAAUCCAAGAAAAUGUCUACAACCAUCUAGUCAAGGAAGACGUCCACAGUCAUCUAAUCGAAGACAACACCCACAUCCACUUGGUCAAAAGAUACCAAAUCCACUAAUUAAAGUACCCAGACAAGUUAAGCCUUGUAUUAGGCCACACAUUCAAAACAAACCUGAAUCACACCACUAUCAUCCACAUGUACCUCUUUCUCCAGACAACCCAUAUCCGUCUCCCUUCAUUCCCAGCCUGAAACCUCAGGUGCAACCAACUAGCAAAGUGGUAAGCACCAGAACCCAAGUCUUAAACACAACUCCGUUUGCUGCCAUUGCCACCACAACUCCCCACUACACUCUCAGCUCCAACACAAUCUCAGCUACAACCACAAACAAAAUAUCAUCUGAUCUCAUCUUCAAAAGUACAACUCCUUCUGAUAUCACAGUUUCCAGUCCUAAAACCCAAGUUCCAGUCACCAUUCCAUUCACUGCUGCAACCACGUCUAAUGCUCCAACUACCGAGAUUUCACCUCCCCUUGUUACUGCCACUACUCUUCCUGCCACCAUGCAAACAACUCCUUUUACCUUACAUACCAUACUCAAGAUGACCACUGAGUCAGGAUAUGAAACAACAGAACUUCCCUACAGCAGCACUAACCCUGAUAAUAACUACAUAUAUGAAACUACAGAAUCUUAUUACUAUGAUGAAUUUGAUGUCUCUAAUUCUGAAAUUACAGCAUCCACCUAUACCACUCCAAAACCUGCCUCUACCGCCAACUAA